rnacentral:rRNA from 1 species
UAGGGAAUCUUCCGCAAUGGGCGAAAGCCUGACGGAGCAACGCCGCGUGAGUGAAGAAGGAUUUCGGUUCGUAAAGCUCUGUUGUUAGGGAAGAAUGAUUGUGUAGUAACUAUACACAGUAGAGACGGUACCUAACCAGAAAGCCACGGCUAACUACGUGCCAGCAGCCGCGGUAAUACGUAGGUGGCAAGCGUUGUCCGGAAUUAUUGGGCGUAAAGCGCGCGCAGGUGGUUUAAUAAGUCUGAUGUGAAAGCCCACGGCUCAACCGUGGAGGGCCAUUGGAAACUGUUAAACUUGAGUGCAGGAGAGAAAAGUGGAAUUCCUAGUGUAGUGGUGAAAUGCGUAGAGAUUAGGAGGAACACCAGUGGCGAAGGCGGCUUUUUGGCCUGUAACUGACACUGAGGCGCGAAAGCGUGGGGAGCAAACAGGAUUAGAUACCCUGGUAGUCCACGCCGUAAACGAUGAGUGCUAAGUGUUGGUCUCAUAAGAGAUCAGUGCUGCAGCUAACGCAUUAAGCACUCCGCCUGGGGAGUACGACCGCAAGGUU